rnacentral:lncRNA from 1 species
AUGUGUUCUGCUUUCCCAGGGUCCGUGGCCGGAGGGCUGCAGCGGCCUCAUUUAUUCAUUUGUGCCAGGCACCCUGUUAAUCAUGGAGAUACCAUGUUGACCUGCCUUCAAGGAGACCAUAUUCUAGUGGGAGAGCUGAGCAGCGAGCUGGCCAUGUGUAGACGGUGCUACAUGAAAGACCACCCUGAUGUAGAAGCCAGAUGGAGCAUCUUGGCUUCCUGCUCCUUUUCUUUCAUAUGACGCAGAAAAGUCUCUGGGUAUUGCAGUUGGGCCAGACCUGCAGAAAAAGAGAACAUUCAGUUGAACAGAAGAACAUAUUCUGGAGAAAAUGGGGAAGAGAGUGAAGACACAGCUGGUUCAAGGGAAAAAUGCCAACUGAGCACAGAGAGAAAAAUGCCUGCUGAGAGCUCUACAAAUAAAGAAAAAACUUACAUAAAAUGGUGAGAAGCACAGGAGAGGACAGGGCUGGGGCUGGGAGGCUGAAGUUCCAGGACUGGUUCUGCAUUUGCUGCUGUGUGACAUUGGGCCAGUGACUUCCCAUCUGUGGGCUUCAGUUUUCUCAAUUAUCAUCUGUUCUCCUGCUUUCUCUAUAACAUUCAUUUAUUGAUUCCUUGAUUCAAGAAUAUUUCUUAAGCACCCAGUUUGUGCCAGGUACAGCUGUCAGUGCUAGUGAUUCAGCAAUGAACAAAGUGGACAAAAAGCACAUCCUUAUGUGAGCCCUCAUGUGUGCAGCAAACACAAUCAGUGAAAUAUGGUGCAGGUUCAUUUGCGAUAAGGAGAAAACAGAAAGCACAGAAGGGGUCAGGCAGUCUAAUCUGGAAGGGUGACCUCUGAGUCAAGACAUAAGGAGGUGAGGGAGUGAGCCAGGACGACAUCUGGGCAAAGCCUGCUCCAGGCAGAGGGGAGAGCCAGUGUGAGAGCUGCCCUGAAUGCAAAGCCUACCCACUGCCCCUUCUUUUGGUGUCUCCACUGGCCUGCUGGCUGCAGCAGCCUUCUAUCAGACCUCUCAGCCUCCAUCUCCUUCCCUGGGGUCUUCUAGCCUCACAUGGCCAGCCAGGGUGACUCUAAAACAUAAGUCAGACCCCAUCACAUCCCUGCUCAAAACCCACCAGGUGCUCCCACCACAUUCAAUGCAGUGCAAGUCCUCACCAUUGUCCUCUAGCAUCUCUCCAAGCCCCAUCUGCCUCCUCUCUCCUUCACUUGCUCCUUUCCAGCUACACUGGCCUCUGCUGUACCUGGGACAUGCCAAGCAAGCCCCAGCCUUGGGGUCUUUGCUCACAGCCUCUGCCUGGAUGUUCUUCCCCCAGUUAUCCACAGGUCUGGCUUCCUGACUUCAUUCAGAGGCCACCCUCUCAAGAGGACACCCUUGACUGUCUUGUCUAAGCAAGACCUUGUCACAUCCAACCACUCACCUGGCUUUAUUUUUCCUUACUGCAUUUAUCAUGACCUCCCAUCAUUUUAUAUAUUUAUAAUAGUAGAUAUAAUCAAUGGAUCAGAUGUUUAUUAUGUGAUGGACACUGUUCCAAACAUCCUAGAAUUAAUCAUCUUCUCCCAAACUCCUUGAGAAUGGUAUUGUUAUUGACCACAUUUUAUAGAUCAAUAACCCAAGAUAGAGAGAGGUUAAGAAAUUUGCUCAAGGUCUCCCAUCUGGUGAGUGUCAGAUCAGGAUUCAAAUCCUGGAGCUUCCAUUAUGAGCCACAACACUCUAGACCAGGGCUGCCCAGUAGAACUUUGCAAUGACGAAAAUGUUCUGUGUCUGCACUGCCCGAAGUGACUGCCACUGGAUACAUGUAACUGUUGAGCACUUGAAAUGUGUGUGACCAAGGAACUGAAUUUUGAAUUUUAUUGCAUUUCCAUGACUUUAGAUUUAAAUAGCCAGGCUAGUGGCUACCAAAUUGUACAUAGAGCCCUAGCACCUCUUAUUUGCUCCUUUGUUAAUUUCUGUCUGCCACAUAAGGAUGAAACUGGCCUAUGCAUUAGUUUCCUCAUUUUACAGUAAGGGAAACACCCCUGGCACAAAGUAAAUACUCAAUGCUUAUUAAUCACCAUCAUCAUCACCAUCAUUAUAACAUUAUCAUUAUUAGUCUCCACAAGACCGAUGACUUUAUGUUUGUUCAUUCCUGAAUCCCAUUACAUUCUUUAGCACAUAGCAGGUGUUCAAUAAAUAUAUUACGAAUGAACG